rnacentral:rRNA from 1 species
UACGUAGGGGGCAAGCGUUAUCCGGAUUUACUGGGUGUAAAGGGAGCGUAGACGGCCAGACAAGUCUGAAGUGAAAAUCCAGCGCUUAACGUUGGAAGUGCUUUGGAAACUGCCGGGCUAGAGUGCAGGAGGGGCAGGCGGAAUUCCUAGUGUAGCGGUGAAAUGCGUAGAUAUCAGGAGGAACACCAGUGGCGAAGGCGGCCUGCUGGACUGCAACUGACGUUGAGGCUCGAAGGCGUGGGGAGCAAACAGG